rnacentral:rRNA from 1 species
CCUACGGGAGGCAGCAGUAGGGAAUCUUCCACAAUGGGCGAAAGCCUGAUGCAGCAACGCCGCGUGAGUGAAGAAGGUCUUCGGAUUGUAAAACUCUGUUAUUAGGGAAGAAAAUGCGUGUAAGUGACUAUGCACGUCUGGACGGCAUCUAACCAGAAAGCCACGGCUAACUACGUGCCAGCAGCCGCGGUAAUACGUAGGUGGCAAGCGUUAUCCGGAUUUAUUGGGCGUAAAGGGAGCGUAGGCGGUUGUAUAAGUCUGAUGUGAAAGGCCGCGGCUUAACCGGGGAAGUGCAUUGGAAACUGGGAAACUAGAGUGCAGGAGAGGUAAGUGGAAUUCCAUGUGUAGCGGUGAAAUGCGUAGAUAUAAGGAGGAACACCAGUGGCGAAGGCGGCUUUCUGGACUGUAACUGACGCUGAGGUUCGAAAGCGUGGGGAGCAAACAGGAUUAGAUACCCUUGUAGUC